GAUGAACGCUGGCGGCGUGCCUAAUACAUGCAAGUCGAGCGAACAGAUGAGGAGCUUGCUCCUCUGACGUUAGCGGCGGACGGGUGAGUAACACGUGGAUAACCUACCUAUAAGACUGGGAUAACUUCGGGAAACCGGAGCUAAUACCGGAUAACAUAUUGAACCGCAUGGUUCAAUAGUGAAAGACGGUUUUGCUGUCACUUAUGGAUGGAUCCGCGCCGCAUUAGCUAGUUGGUAAGGUAACGGCUUACCAAGGCAACGAUGCGUAGCCGACCUGAGAGGGUGAUCGGCCACACUGGAACUGAGACACGGUCCAGACUCCUACGGGAGGCAGCAGUAGGGAAUCUUCCGCAAUGGGCGAAAGCCUGACGGAGCAACGCCGCGUGAGUGAUGAAGGUCUUCGGAUCGUAAAACUCUGUUAUUAGGGAAGAACAAAUGUGUAAGUAACUAUGCACGUCUUGACGGUACCUAAUCAGAAAGCCACGGCUAACUACGUG
rnacentral:rRNA from 1 species